AACGAACGCUGGCGGCAUGCCUAACACAUGCGAGUCGAACGAGACCUUCGGGUCUAGUGGCGCACGGGUGCGUAACGCGUGGGAACCUGCCCUUAGGUUCGGAAUAACUCCCCGAAAGGGGUGCUAAUACCGGAUAAUGUCUUCGGACCAAAGAUUUAUCGCCUUUGGGUGGGCCCGCGUUGGAUUAGCUAGUUGGUAGGGUAAAAGCCUACCAAGGCGACGAUCUAUAGCUGGUCUGAGAGGAUGAUCAGCCACACUGGGACUGAGACACGGCCCAGACUCCUACGGGAGGCAGCAGUGGGGAAUAUUGGACAAUGGGCGAAAGCCUGAUCCAGCAAUGCCGCGUGAGUGAUGAAGGCCUUAGGGUUGUAAAGCUCUUUUACCCGGGAUGAUAAUGACAGUACCGGGAGAAUAAGCGCCGGCUAACUCCGUG
rnacentral:rRNA from 1 species